GGUCAAUUAGGAGUUAUGGCCUAUGGUGUGUAUAUGGCAGGGAAUUUUAAUUGUCAACAUUUUAGAAGCUCCAGCCUCACAGUCAUCACCAGAUAUACUAACACCAGCCAAUGACACGCCAAGUACUUCACUAAAUCUGACCCUCCCUGCCUUCAUGGAAAUGCACACUUAGAAUUACAGAACCCUCUGUGGAAGCGGUGGUCUGACACAAGCAUUUCUGGAUGACGCUGAACCUGCUUACAACUCCCUGCUGCUGUCAGGCAGAACAUUCUCCAAACCGCAUGAAUUUGGAAGUCUGGACACUUCAGGCAUCAUCAGGUUUAUGGUUUUGUCAUAACCCUGCUGAAAGUCCUUUACCAUCUCCAGGCCUCCAUUUAUUUUCUAUAAAAUAAGGAGUUUGGAAUGGCACUGUGUUGAUAUUCUCCAGUUUUGUGAAACAUCGUACUCAACAAUCGCGAGCAGGCAUUUUACAGACCUUGCUUUCCUAGACCUGCUCAAGUAGAACAUUCAGGUCAGUGCUAAGAGUUAAUAUGCUGCCUCCGUCUGACCUCCACAUUAUGAAAAAAAAUAUAAAGGAAAGAGCAAAAGGUAGAGCAAGUAGGUUUCGGGCUUGGUGGAGUAGCUCUGAGUGCUGCCCUGUCCUUGGCUGUGUGUGCCAGGUGAAGCGUCUGUGAAGGUCCCCAGUGGGGUGUGCAGAGCACAAGGGCUGCUUCUGAAUGCAGGCACGUGAUCUAAGGACACUGUGCAUCACCAGUGUGACCCCAGGAGUAGUUUCAGAGCUUUGAUAAGACCUAGGCCAGGCUCAGUGGCUCACGCCUGUCAUCUCAGCACUUUGGGAGGCCAAGGUGGGUGGAUCAGCUGAGGUCAGGAGUUCAAGACCAGCCUGACCAAUAUGGUGAAAUCCUGUCCCUACUAAAAGUACAAAAAUUAGUUGGGUGUGGGGGCGAGCGCCUGUAAUCCCAGCUACUUGGGAGGCUGAGGCAGGAGAAUCAUUUGAACCCGGGAGGUGGAGGUUGCAGUGAGCCGAGAUCACACCACUACCCUCCAGCCUGGGAGACAGAGCAAGACUCCAUCUCAAAAAAUAAUAAUAAUAAUAAUAAUAAUAAUAAGCCCAGGAACAUCAGAUGUGGGCUGCAUUGACGGCCUGCCUCUCUCUACACCACAGGAAUCUGGGCUGUAAAGGCAGGAUAUAAAUUCAAGUCCACAUGCUAUGGAGAAAUCAGAGGUUUCGAAAGUAUCUCCGUGACUGUUUUUGAAGUCACAGCUAAUAAUUCACCGUCUGACACUCCGGGGCUUGCCUGGAUCUAAAAAUAGUUGUUCCCCCGAGCUGGUCGGGGAACUGGCUGAGAAGGGAGGGAGCUGCGUGGAACACAUUCUGAACCAUCAGGAAACCCAAAGCAAAAUCGAAUCUUGCCACCUAAGAUUUGAUUAUUAAAAGAUGGAUUUGACAGCUGAUUCCCCAUUAAUUACAUUUGUAAAGAUAUUUGAAAGACAGGAAUGAAAUGACAGUGGCCCUGACACAGUCCUUGGGGUUUAAGACGGAGUCUGACAUUGUAUCUGUCUCCGGUUCUGCAGCAGCUUAGCGACAUCAGAGACAAUUGAAGCAAAGGGCCCACUUAUGGCUGACAGCUGACCCUGCAGCCCAGCUGGGAAGCCCCUGAGACGACCCGGGUCCAGCCAUCAGGGAAGGGAACCAGCGUGGCCCCAGGAGGGCUUUAGGCUGAGGCUUCUCCCAGGAUGUGGAGGCUCAGCACUUUGCACAAAUUGGAUUCAUGCCAAAGGAAACUGAAAGCCUGCCUUUCUUUUUUUCCCAGUGCACAUCUCAGAUUAUUUGGCCUUUGUCCGAGGACUGAAAACAGUUCUGUGUCCAAGUAUGUUUUUAAUACCUGAUAUUUAUUUCACAAAAAAGCUGAAAUUGCUUUGUGUGUCCAGGCUUGAAUGUUUAAGGCAUACUUGAUUAAUACAUGUGUGCUGAGCGCUUCCUGGGGCUCCUAGACACUGCCAAAGGUAGCUCAGUGGGGAAAUUCAAGGCAAUUUUCCCCUUAACUUUUGCUACUUCUGACCAUUUUCCACUUAUGUUAUUAUGCUUCUGUAUCCAUCUGUCUGCCUAUGUCUAGCUAUCCAUCAUCUAUCAAUCAAUCACUGUAUCUUGCAAUGGAGGAAUUAACUGUGAUGUUUUCAAGCGUGUCGCUUCUCUCAUAUUCCUAUUAACAUAUUGGAAACGCUCAGCUAAAUAGAAUAAAGUUUUUAGCCUAAACCUACAGUGAAUGUCUAAUGCUUUGGGCAAGAUAUUGAAGGGGUGGGGGAGAGAUAAUAUGAAUGCUUUCAUAGACACAGCUGGACUUCUUUCCCCCUAAACAUGAGUGAGAAUUCUUUCUAUGCUUCUAGUUGAGAUUGUAGAUAAAUAGAGAAAUCACAUUUGAACAUAGGAAAUGGCUUCUGAUAAAGAAGGCACAUUCCUGUCUCUCUCACACACACAUGCACGCAUGCACGCACACACGGACCUCCCACCCACCCAUCAGAAGCGUAUCAGAGGCCUCUGCCUCCCGCCAGGAUUCCCGGCUGCAGGACACAGCCCAGCAGGAGAAGCUUUUCCCUCCAUUCUUUCAAGGAUCUCGCUCUGUUACCCAGGCUGGAGUGAAGUGGCCCAAUCUCGGCUUACCACAACCUCUGCCUCCCAGGUUCAAGCGAUUCUCCUGCCUCAGCCUCCCAAGUAGCUGAGAUUACAGGUGUGUGCCACCAUGCCUAGCCAAUAUUUGUAUUUUUAGUACAGACAGGCUGGUCUCGAACUCCUGAGCUUCAGUGAUCUGCCUUCCUCGGCCUCCCAAAGUUCUGAGAUUUAUAGGUGUGAGCCACUGCGCCCGGCCCUCACAGUCAAUUUCUUAUGAGGAUUUUUCUUCUAAAUAUCCCAAAGAAGCCAUGUGGGGCACAGCCCUGGGGUGGUGGGCAAAUCAAGAGUCAAACUCUGAAUGUUUCCUAUCCCAGGGAGAGGGAGAAAAGAAUCUAAUCCAGAGAGAAAUUGGAAGGCUUAGUAUAAGAAGUCAUGCCAGAUUAUCAGCUCCUAUUUUGGGCCAGGCCUUUGAGGGGCAGCGUCCUGAGCCGUGAGGAGCAGGUGUCAGGCUAGGGCCUGGUGGAGACAUCAGGAAUCCUUACACAGUUCCAGGGAAGAGGGAAGAAAACCCACUGAGGACUGAGGAGGUUGGUCAUGCCAAGUGGAGGUGAGGAGUGGGGCUACAGGAGGCUGAUUUCCUGCUGUUCAGCAAGGAAGUCUUGGGUUGUUUGCCACUCACGUAUUUUACGUUUCUAACUAAGACACAGGACUUCAGGAAUAAGAUUGCCCUGGAAUGUCUCCAUCAGUGGCUCUCUCCUGGGGUUGACUUGGCUUCCCACAUCCCACCCGAGCAGGGGACAUGUGGCAAUGCCUGGAGGUAAGUUUGCUUGUCACAAGUGACAGAUAUGCACCUACCAUCUAGUGGGUGAGGGCCAGGGGUGCUGUUGAACACACUGUGUACAGGACGGUCUCCUACCACAAAGAACUGUUUCCGUCAGAAUGUCAACGUGGCUGAGGCUGGGAACACACACUCUAACUCUUUGGAAGGUGCUAUGGACUGAAUAUUUGUGUUCCUUCAAAAUUCAUGUCGAAAUCCUGACCUCUUAAGUAUUAGGAGAUGCCAUCUUUGGGAAGUGAUGAGGUCAUAAGGAUGGAGUCCUUAAGGAUGGGAUUAGGGCCCUUAGAAAAAAUGGCCAGAGAGAGCUCCCUCACCUCUUUCACCGGGUGAGGACCCAAGGAGAAGGCACCAUCAACGAGCCAGGAAACAGGCUCCCACCAGACACCGAUUCUGCCAGCAUCGUGAUCUUGGACUUUCAGCCUCCAGAACUGUGAGAAAUGAAUACUUGUUUAAGCCAUGUGUAUUGUUACAGC
rnacentral:lncRNA from 1 species